UAAUGGAAACUGAAAGGUGACGUGCA
rnacentral:piRNA from 1 species